rnacentral:rRNA from 1 species
AUUGAACGCUGGCGGCAGGCUUAACACAUGCAAGUCGAGCGAGCGGCGGACGGGUGAGUAAUGUCUGGGAAACUGCCUGAUGGGGGGGGAUAACUACUGGAAACGGUAGCUAAUACCGCAUAACAUCAGAUGUGCCCAGUUGGGAUUAGCUAGUGGGUGGGGUAUUGGCUCACCAAGGCGACGAUCCCUAGCUGGUCUGAGAGGAUGAACGGCCAAACUGGAACUGAGACACGGUCCAGACUCCUACGGGAGGCAGCAGUGGGGAAUAUUGAACAAUGGGCGCAAGCCUGAUGCAGCCAUGCCGCGUGGGUGAAGAAGGCCUUCGGGUUGUAAAGCACUUUCAGCGAGGAGGCGUUACUCGCAGAAGAAGCACCGGCUAACUCCGUGCCAGCAGCCGCGGUAAUAC